CUUGAGUAAGGGAGGAAGGAGCGGCACCGGCCCUUUACCAAAAUGGCCGCCGGGCCGUGGCGCACCCUCCCCCGCGGCCCCCAGCGCAACAAGGGGGGAGCCUCCAGAAGGGCGGUGAGUUAUAGGUUAUCAGAUACUGCCAUAGAUGCAGAUAGAAAGAGUAUUUUUCACCUGAAGGAUACUGAGGCACUUGGAAAAGGCAGUGAUGAGCAUACUGUACAUGUCUGGGAGUCGUCGCCUAUGCUGCUGACGCAGACCCUGCCGGAGGUGACGGGUGUCUGAGCAGGAACAGUGUCUAUCCCUGAAUGGCACACUGGAAGUGUUAAUUCUCUAAGCAUCAAACACAUCCAACUUUUUCAAGAUGUGUUGAAUUUUGUAUCUUCUGUGCCCCAGAUGAGAGAUGAUGGACUACAGGUAAUAUAAAGUUCAAUGUUUCCUGGUCCAAAUGAGAUUAAGGACAAAACCCAUUAUUGACCCGAAAGGGUUCAGGUACAAGUUAUAGACAUUCUUAUUCAGAAAACACAGAGGUUACAGAAUUCCAGAUGAAAUCGCUGGAUUUCAGUAGUCUGGAUGCUCAGUAUUCAGCCUGGAUCAGCUCGCUCCUGACAGAUGAACCACAAACCAGGAACAGGGGUGAUAAGCCUUGAUUUCAGGGCUUGUGUUCCAUCCAUUAGACAGAACUUAUCUUUAAUGUUAAACUCCUGGGUUUAGAGACUGGACCGAUGGCAGUUGUUUGUUUUGUUUGGGGUUUUUAUUUUUUGUUUUUCGGGUUUUUUUACAUUACCAGUAUUUCCGUGUUCUACAUGGACUACACAAAAUUGUUUGAAUUCUAACAUCAUUUAAUAUUUCUGCUGCUAAUCCUAGUUUAGCCAUGACACAGACAAAUCUGGUAUUAAGCAAAGAAGUUGUUGCAUAAACACGGUAAAUGCUGCCUCUUUUCCUUUUAGUGGACUUAGAAAUUCACACCAGAGCAGUUAGUUAGAAUAUGCAAUUUAUACUGCAGACUAUUUAAAUGUUUUAAAAUGGAAGUGUUCAUUACAAAGGCCUUUGCUAACCUUUUAUGCAGCGUGAGAUGCAAAUAAAGCAGUGGCUGA